rnacentral:rRNA from 1 species
AUUGAACGCUUGCGGCAGGCUUAACACAUGCAAGUCGAGCGGAUCGAGGGUGCUUGCACCUUAGCUUAGCGGCGGACGGGUGAGUAAUGCUUCGGAAUCUGCCUAUUAGUGGGGGACAACAUUCCGAAAGGAACGCUAAUUCCGCAUACGCCCUACGGGGGAAAGCAGGGGAUCUUCGGACCUUGCGCUUCUAGAUGAGCCUAGGUCGGAUUAGCCAGUUGGUGGGGUAAAGGCAUACCAAGGCGACGAUCUGUAGCGGGUCUGAGAGGAUGAUCCGCCACACUGGGACUGAGACACGGCCCAGACUCCUACGGAAGGCAGCAGUGGGGAAUAUUGGACAAUGGGCGGAAGCCUGAUCCAGCCAUGCCGCGUGUGUGAAGAAGGCCUUUUGGUUGUAAAGCACUUUAAGCGAGGAGGAGGCUACUUAGAUUAAUACUCUGGGAUAGUGGACGUUACUCGCAGAAUAAGCACCGGCUAACUCGGUGCCAGCCGCCGCCGUAACAC